rnacentral:rRNA from 1 species
AGAGUAAGUGGUGGAUGCCUUGGCUAGUAGAGGCGAUGAAAGACGUGCCAGGCUGCGAUAAGUCUCGGGGAGCCGUCAAGGGGCUUUGAUCCGGGAAUUUCUGAAUGGGGCAACCCAGUUAAGCGCGAGCUUAACUACCUAAUAUGGAGCGAACGAGGGGAAUUGAAACAUCUUAGUACCCUCAGGAAAAGAAAUCAAAAGAGAUUACGCUAGUAGCGGCGAGCGAACGCGUAAGAGGGCAAACCGUUAGUUUACUAACGGGGUUGUAGGACUGCGAUAUAGACUAAACUUAGCUAAUAGAAUAAUCUGGAAAGGUUAGGCACAGAGGGUGAUACUCCCGUAUAUGAAAGCUUUGUUUUACUUAGCAGUAUCCUGAGUAGGGCGGAACACGUGAUAUUCUGUCUGAAGCCGGGUCGACCACGAUCCAACCCUAAAUACUACUACUAGACCGAUAGCGCACAAGUACCGUGAGGGAAAGGUGAAAAGAACUGAGGUGAUCAGAGUGAAAUAGAACCUGAAACCAUUUACUUACAAUCAUUCAGAGCACGAUUCUUUAUGACGUGUGAUGGACUGCCUUUUGCAUAAUGAGCCUGCGAGUUGUGGUGUCUGGCGAGGUUAAGGAAACCCGGAGCCGUAGCGAAAGCGAGUCUUAAUAGGGCGUUUAGUCAGAUGCUGCAGACCCGAAACGAUGUGAUCUAUCCAUGAGCAGGUUGAAGCCGGUGUAAGAGCCGGUGGAGGACCCAACCCGCUGGCGUUGAAAAGCCAUGGGAUGACUUGUGGAUAGGGGUGAAAGGUCAAUCAAACAUCGUGAUAGCUGGUUCUCUCCGAAAUAUAUUUAGGUAUAGCGUCAUGUAGUAACACUAGGGGGUAGAGCACUGAAUGGGCUAGGGCAUACACCAAUGUACCAAACCCUAUCAAACUCCGAAUACCUAGUGUGUAAUCAUGGCAGUCAGGCGGCGAGUGAUAAAAUCCGUCGUCGAGAGGGGAACAACCCAGACUAACAGCUAAGGUCCCUAAAUCUCAUUUAAGUGGAAAACGAUGUGGAGUUACUUAAACAACCAGGAGGUUGGCUUAGAAGCAGCCAUCCUUUAAAGAAAGCGUAAUAGCUCACUGGUCUAGUGAUUCUGCGCGGAAAAUAUAACGGGGCUAAAAUGAGUACCGAAGCUUUAGACUUAGUUUUACUAAGUGGUAGGAGAGCGUUGCAUUCAGCGUCGAAGGUGUACCGGUAAGGAGCGCUGGAGCGAAUGCAAGUGAGCAUGCAGGCAUGAGUAGCGAUAAUUGGGGUGAGAAUCCCCAACGCCGUAAACCCAAGGUUUCCUACGCGAUGCUCGUCAUCGUAGGGUUAGCCGGGUCCUAAGCAAAGUCCGAAAGGGGUAUGCGAUGGAAAAUUGGUUAAUAUUCCAAUGCCAACUAUAAUGUGCGAUGGAAGGACGCUUAGAGUUAGAGGAGCCAGCGGAUGGUAGUGCUGGUCGAAAGGUGUAGGUUAAGAUCCAGGCAAAUCCGGAUCUUUUUAAGCCGAGACCCCACAGGCACACAAAGUUCUUCGGAACAGCGUGUGAAUCCUUGAUACUGUCGAGCCAAGAAAAGUUUCUAAGUUUAGUUAUAGUUGCCCGUACCGUAAACCGACACAGGUGGGUGGGAUGAGUAUUCUAAGGCGCGUGGAAGAACUCUCUUCAAGGAACUCUGCAAAAUAGCACCGUAUCUUCGGUAUAAGGUGUGCCUAACUUUGUGAAGGAUUUACUCCGUAAGCAUUGAAGGUUACAACAAAGAGUCCCUCCCGACUGUUUACCAAAAACACAGCACUCUGCUAACUCGUAAGAGGAUGUAUAGGGUGUGACGCCUGCCCGGUGCUCGAAGGUUAAUUGAUGACGUUAGCUCUGCGAAGCGUUUGAUCGAAGCCCGAGUAAACGGCGGCCGUAACUAUAACGGUCCUAAGGUAGCGAAAUUCCUUGUCGAUUAAAUAUCGACCUGCAUGAAUGGCGUAACGAGAUGGGAGCUGUCUCGAAGAGGGAUCCAGUGAAAUUGUAGUGGAGGUGAAAAUUCCUCCUACCCGCGGCAAGACGGAAAGACCCCGUGGACCUUUACUACAGCUUGACACUGCUAUUGGGAUAAAAAUGUGCAGGAUAGGUGGGAGGCUUUGAUCCAUAGACGCCAGUUUAUGGUGAGCCAUUGUUGAGAUACCACUCUUUUUUAUUCUGAUAGCUAACUAGCUUGAGUUAUCCUCAAGUAGGACAAUGUCUGGUGGGUAGUUUGACUGGGGCGGUCGCCUCCCAAAAUGUAACGGAGGCUUACAAAGGUUGGCUCAGAACGGUUGGAAAUCGUUCGCAGAGUAUAAAGGCAAAAGCCAGCUUAACUGCGAGACAUACACGUCAAGCAGGGACGAAAGUCGGUCUUAGUGAUCCGGUGGUUCUGUGUGGAAGGGCCAUCGCUCAAAGGAUAAAAGGUACCCCGGGGAUAACAGGCUGAUCUCCCCCAAGAGCUCACAUCGACGGGGAGGUUUGGCACCUCGAUGUCGGCUCAUCGCAUCCUGGGGCU